GGAUCCAGACUUUGAUCAUGGCUCAUGAUGAACGCUGGCGGCGCAUUUAAGACGUGCAAGUCGAACGAAAAUUUACGCUUAAAGAGUUGAUUAGUUUACUAAGAGAUGAUUUAUUGUAAAUUUUAGUGGCGGACUGGUGAGUAAUACAUAGGUAAUCUGCCUUUUAGAGGGGAAUAACUAGGAGAAAUCCUAGCUAAUACCGCGUAAGACCACACUUAGGCAUCUAAGAGAGGUCAAAGGAGUAAUCCGCUAAAAGAUGAGCCUGUGGCUGAUUAGUUAGUUGGUGGGGUAAGAGCCUACCAAGACGAUGAUCAGUAGCCGAGCUGAGAGGCUGGCCGGCCACAUUGGGACUGAGAUACGGCCCAGACUCCUACGGGAGGCAGCAGUUGGGAAUAUUGGACAAUGGAGGAAACUCUGAUCCAGUGACGCCGCGUGAAGGAAGAAGGUCUUCGGAUUGUAAACUUAUUUUAUCAGGGAAGAAGAAAGUGACAGUACCUGAAGAAAAAGGACCGGCAAACUACGUGCCAGCAGCCGCGGUAAUACGUAGGGUCCAAGCGCUAUCCGGAUUUACUGGGUGUAAAGGGCGAGUAGACGGCGCUGUAAGUCAGCUGUGAAAACUUAGGGCUCAACCUUAAGCCUGCAGCUGAAACUGUAGUGCUAGAGUGCAGGAGAGGUAAGCGGAAUUCCUAGUGUAGCGGUGAAAUGCGUAGAUAUUAGGAGGAACACCAGUGGCGAAGGCGGCUUACUGGACUGUAACUGACGUUGAGGCGCGAAAGUGUGGGGAGCAAACAGGAUUAGAUACCCUGGUAGUCCACACCGUAAACGAUGGAUACUAGGUGUAGGCGAGAUAUCGUCUGUGCCGGCGCAAACGCAAUAAGUAUCCCACCUGGGGAGUACGGCCGCAAGGUUGCAACUCAAAUGAAUUGACGG
rnacentral:rRNA from 1 species